UACGUAGGGGGCAAGCGUUAUCCGGAUUUACUGGGUGUAAAGGGAGCGUAGACGGAGAGGCAAGUCUGAUGUGAAAGGCGGGGGCUCAACCCCCGGACUGCAUUGGAAACUGUAUUUCUUGAGUGCCGGAGGGGUAAGCGGAAUUCCUAGUGUAGCGGUGAAAUGCGUAGAUAUUAGGAGGAACACCAGUGGCGAAGGCGGCUUACUGGACGGCAACUGACGUUGAGGCUCGAAAGCGUGGGGAGCAA
rnacentral:rRNA from 1 species